GAUGAACGCUGGCGGCGUGCCUAACACAUGCAAGUCGAACGGAAAGAUAAUGCUCUUGUGCCGUUCACGUGUGCGGCGGGCGUGUGAGUCACGCGUGUAUCACCUCUUUGUAUUUCUGGAAUCACUACGGAACACCGGCUAUUACCGCAUAUAACAUGUUGAACCGCAGUGGUCUUCGGAGAGAUUCGGCGUUGCGGGCUCUACUAGAUGGUCCCCAGCCGGAUUAGCUAGUUGGUGCGUUAACGGCCCUCCAAGGCUACGAUGCGUAGCCGACCUGAGAGGCUGAUCGGCCACACUGGAAGUGAGACACGGUCCAGACUCCUACGGGAGGCAGCAGUAGGGAAUGUUCGGCAAUGGGCGAAAGUCUGACGGAGCAAGGCCGAGUGAGUGAUGAAGGCCUUCGGAUCGUAAAGCCCUGCUAUUGGGGAAGAACAGCUGCGGAAUGAAACGAGGCCGUCUUGACGGUAACUAAUAAAAAAGCCACGGCUAACUACGUG
rnacentral:rRNA from 1 species